UGCCCUGGCUCUAGGGACUGCGAGCCCCGCAGGGUUUUGAAGAGUUGGUGGGCGAUGGAGCACGAUCGAUCCGCACUCCUGUUGGACGUGCGACCUGUCCGCGGCCCGGAGACGCUGCACAGUAGCCGCCCACGGCCUCCACUGUGCCGGCCGCGGUGGACACGGUGCCCACGGUGGGCGGCGCGGGUCACCUGGAGUCCAAACCAGGCCAUGCUUUCCGGAAAACGAAGGGGUGAGAAAAAGUUACAAUCUCUGCCCUGGAAGUUCACGCCAGAUAAGAAAAACCAGUCGGGGAAUGUCACCUGGAGCACUCCAAAAAUUCUGGAUCUCUCAUCCCAUUGCAAGCCUAAACAGAAUUCAGAGAUUCAUUCAUCCUGCAGAAGGGUUUGAGAUACACUGCUCUAGAGAGAGUGAAGGAGAGAAACAGAGAAGGCUCAGUGUGAGACUAUAAAAGCCGUGGAAGAAUAAAAGUUUAAGCUAAGCGAGAAAAAAACCUGGUUUGUGGUUUCAGAGGUGAUCUUCCUUAUCAUGAAAUGAUUGGGGUAAAACCAUAGUCUAAUGACUGAUAAUGUGUCAUUAUGAAAGCGUGUGGUUUCUAAAUGGGUAAACAUGGCAUAAAGUUUACCAAAAAGAAAUAAAAAGAAAGGCAAAUCAGAUGUUAUGGUUUGCAUAGGAAAGUCCUCCACUGGCUCUUGUGUUGAAGGCUGGGUCAUGAUUGGAUCAUGAGGGCUGAUUUCCGUCAUCAAUGGAUGGAUCCACUGCUGUGUGCGUAAUUGAUGGUAUUAUUUCAAGAUGAAAACCGAGAGAUCGGGUCUGGUUGGAGGAAGUAGGUCACUAGGGGCAUGGCUUUGAGGACAUACCUUGUUUCUAGCCUUUUAGCCUUUUCUCCUCGCCUUUGCCUCUAGCGUCUAAAGAGCUGAGUAGCUUCGUUCGGUCAUAUGUCACCACUGUGACGGCCUCAGAACAGCCAAGAGUCUAUGUACUGAACCCUCUGAACCUUUGACCCCAAACAAGUCUUUCUUCCUGUAAGUUGUUUUUCUCAGGUUUUGUCAUGGCAACAAAGACUGAUUGGCAUACCAGAAAGCAGAAUUAACAGCUCUUACGAAAUCAAAAUGGGCAAGGGACAUUAAUAGGCAGGUCCUAAAGCAGCAAUAUAAAUAGCCAAUAAACAUAGCGAAUGUUA